UCAAGUUGUUGUUGAAUUUGAUUAGAACUUGAUCCACUAGGACUGCCAGAACUAAUGGUAGGAUCUAUAAUUUUCUUGGCUUCUAUGUUAGCUUGUAUCCAUAAAGAUUUAUGAUCCUUUCUUAAAUGACUAUUUAAGCCCCCCGUCCCACCAAUUUUGAGUGUGCAAAUACUUGCUUGCAUUUUUCACAUAUAGCACGAUGAUUGACUUUAUCAUGUUUAAAACAUUUCCAUACAAGUGAUAUUUUGGGACGUUCAACCUUAGGCUUACCCCUUAUAGGGGUACAGGGGGUAAAGCUCCAGACUAAGAUUGAAUCUGAGUUGGAGCUCGUGUUGCGGGACUAGUGGGUGUUUUAUCUAAUCCUUC
rnacentral:lncRNA from 1 species